GACGAACGCUGGCGGCGUGCUUAACACAUGCAAGUCGAACGGGCCUGCCCUUUUGUGGGUGGGGUGAGUGGGGAACGGGCGGGGAUCACGUGAGUAACCUGGCCCCCGUGCCCGGAUAACGCACUGAAAGGGGUGCUAAUACGGGGUGGGAUGGCGGUGCUGCGUGGUGGCGCCGGGAUAGGUGCCGCUUUCUUUGGGGGUGUGGUGGGGGAUGGGCUGGCGGGCUAUGAGCUUGUUGGUGGGGGGCUGGCCGACCAAGGCGGUGAUGGGCAGCCGGCCUGGGGGGGUGGGCGGCCGCACUGGGCCUGCGACACGGCCCAGCCUCCUGCGGGAGGCAGCAGUGGGGGGUAUUGCGCAAUGGGCGGAAGCCUGACGCAGCGACGCCGCGUGAGGGACGGAGGCCUUCGGGUUGUGAACCUCUUUCGCCGGUGGAGACGGCGCCCCCGUGUGGGGUGCUGACUGUGGCCGGGUUAAGAAGCGCCGGCUAACUACGUG
rnacentral:rRNA from 1 species